rnacentral:lncRNA from 1 species
AACAGUUCGUGCCAAACUGGAAAGAUAGGGGGCAGAGAGAGGGGGGGAGGGAGGGAGGGAGGGACAGGGAGGAGAGGGAGAGAGAGGGAGAGGGAGAAAGAGAGGGAAAGAGACAGAGGGAGAGAGAGAGAGAGAGAGAGAGAGAGAGAGAGAGAGAGAGAGAGAGAGAGAGAGAGAGAGAGAGAGAGAGAGAGGAGGGAGAGAAAGAUGGAGAGAGAGAGAGAUGGAGAGAGAGAAAGAGAGAGAUGGAGAGAGAAAUAGAGACAGAGACAGAGAGGCACACAGAGACAGAGACAGACAGACACAUAGACAGAGACAGAUAGACACAUAGACAGAGAGAGAUGGAGAGAGAAAGAGAGACAGAGACAGAGAACAACUAAUCAAUCUCAGCUCUGCAAGCAGCAGCCUGGCCCAAGUAAAGUCUCUUAUCAGGACUCUGCUCACUGCCUCCCUCCUCCAUCCCACAAUAACAAGUACAACUGUAAAAUAAAGGGGUUGGACUAAAUGGUUUUUAAACUUCCUUCCAGCUUAGAAAUUGCAUAUUCCAAAGUCCCUCCCAGCCCUGACAUUCAAUUACUCUCUGACAUUUUGGAGUGAAAGACUUCUGUGUUUUCCUUUGCAUUAAAUUGCAGGUGUUAGAUCAUUUGUCCCCAUUACCACAAUUUCUUCCAUCAAGUGUCCAGGUCCCUGGUGACAUUAACCCAGCAGAGAAAAAAAGUGAGUUUAGUGUCUGGGGCAGUUCUCUGGCCUCUUUGUCCUGUAUCCUGGUACAAGGGAGAAGCCAGGUCCUUCUUGCUCAUCAGCCCUCUGGGAAUCUGAAAUUCUUAUUCCAUUCUAGUACAAUUAUUGAAGGGAGCAAAGGAGAAAAUUUUACAGCAGAGGGAAGUUCCUAUUCCAUUUAUAGAACAUGCUGCUGGGCAUGAUCUGAGUGACCUGGUUUUCAAAGUGUACCUUUGUCAACUUCUUGGAGCCACAAAUGAGAGCUGGGCAUCAGGUAGACACCAAAGGAGGAAAACAGCCCUGAAAAAAACCUUGGAAGGCCUUCACACAAGAGGUACAAAGAGACAGAGUUGGAAGUCUAAAAACCUAAAAGACUAGGGCCUUUCUUGUUAUAUCAUGUCUCACUUGAAAUUAAUAAUCAGAGGGACAUUGAAAAAAGACACCUCUAUUAUUGUAGCUUUCAAAGAUUCUUGUAUGAUUUUGAAAUAUGCAUGGGAUUCACCUUGUUGGAGGAGAGCCUUUAGGGUCUACUUUGCUCUAUCUACUCGAAUUCAUUUUUAGAGUGAACAAAAAAAAAAACAAUUAAAUAAACACAAGGGGAUCUUGUUUCCUCUACCCCUU